AUACACGCUGGCGGCGUGCAUCACCCAUGCCAGUCGAACGAUGAAGAUUAAAAGAUUUCUUCGGAAUGAACUUAAUUGGAUUAGUGGCGGACGGGUGAGUAACGCGUGAGUAACCUGCCUUGUACAAGGGGAUAGCCGUUGGAAACGACGAAUAAUACCCUAUGACAUCAAAUAAUCGCAUGAUAAUUUGAUCAAAGAUUUAUCGGUAUAAGAUGGACUCGCGUCUGAUUAGCUAGUUGGUAGAGUAAAAGCCUACCAAGGCAACGAUCAGUAGCCGGCUUGAGAGAGUGUACGGCCACAUUGGGACUGAGACACGGCCCAGACUCCUACGGGAGGCAGCAGUGGGGAAUUUUGCACAAUGGGGGAAACCCUGAUGCAGCGACGCCGCGUGAUUGAGAAGGCCUUCGGGUUGUAAAAAUCUUUUGUAUGGGAAGAAAAUGACAGUACCAUACGAAUAAGAACCGGCUAAUUACGUG
rnacentral:rRNA from 1 species